UGAAUUGAAUUUGAUGAUGAUGGUGGGUGAGAAACAGAGAAAGUAUGGGUUGUGGAAGGGAGCUAUGGAAGGGACAUCUGACUUUUAAGGCCAAAUAGUGAAACCGGCCCACACCGAAACAGAAACCGCACCGAACUGGAUUUCGGUGUAACCGAAGAAUUCGGCCUAUGA